rnacentral:rRNA from 1 species
AUUGAACGCUGGCGGCAUGCUUUACACAUGCAAGUCGAACGGUAACAGGCCGCAAGGUGCUGACGAGUGGCGAACGGGUGAGUAAUGCAUCGGAACGUGCCCGGUCGUGGGGGAUAACGCAGCGAAAGCUGCGCUAAUACCGCAUACGAUCUAUGGAUGAAAGCGGGGGACCGUAAGGCCUCGCGCGAUUGGAGCGGCCGAUGGCAGAUUAGGUAGUUGGUGGGGUAAAGGCUCACCAAGCCGACGAUCUGUAGCUGGUCUGAGAGGACGACCAGCCACACUGGGACUGAGACACGGCCCAGACUCCUACGGGAGGCAGCAGUGGGGAAUUUUGGACAAUGGGCGCAAGCCUGAUCCAGCAAUGCCGCGCGCCGGAAGAAGGCCUUCGGGUUGUAAACUGCUUUUGUACGGAACGAAACGGUCUGGGUUAAUACCCUGGGCUAAUGACGGUACCGUAAGAAUAAGCACCGGCUAACUACGUGCCAGCCGCCGCAGUAAUAC